UGAGGGGCAGAGAGCGAGACUU
rnacentral:ncRNA from 3 species